rnacentral:rRNA from 1 species
GAUGAACGCUGGCGGCGUGCCUAAUACAUGCAAGUCGAGCGAACAGAUGAAGUGCUUGCACUUCUGACGUUAGCGGCGAACGGGUGAGUAACACGUAAGGAAUCUACCUAUAAGCGGGGGAUAACAUUCGGAAACGGGUGCUAAUACCGCAUAAUAUCUUCUUCCGCAUGGAAGAAGAUUGAAAGACGGCUCUGCUGUCACUUAUAGAUGACCUCGCGGUGCAUUAGUUAGUUGGUGGGGUAACGGCCUACCAAGACGAUGAUGCAUAGCCGACCUGAGAGGGUGAUCGGCCACAUUGGGACUGAGACACGGCCCAAACUCCUACGGGAGGCAGCAGUAGGGAAUCUUCCGCAAUGGGCGAAAGCCUGACGGAGCAAUGCCGCGUGAGUGAAGAAGGCCUUCGGGUCGUAAAACUCUGUUAUAAGAGAAGAACAAAUUGUAGAGUAACUGCUACAGUCUUGACGGUAUCUUAUCAGAAAGCCACGGCUAACUACGUGCCAGCCGCCGCCGUAA